rfam:Dorea sp. CAG:317, WGS project CBGJ01000000 data, contig: 110
AGACUUGAUAGAGGCGCGGAUUUCAUCAGUAUCCGGUAAACGAUAGUUUGGAAGACUGUUUCCGGUGAAAGGGGAAUCUGCCGAAGAGAUUAGACGAUUCCAAGUUUUGUCUCUGGGACGUGGGUAGAAGAUGCCCCGUACUGUCACAGCAGUGGAGAGCUAUCAGUGUU